UGCGUAGGCGGCGGCACAAGUCAGGUGUGAAAUCCCCCGGCUCAACCGGGGAACAGCGCUUGAAACUAGGUCGCUCGAGUGAGGCAGGGGUGUAUGGAACUUCCGGUGGAGCGGUGAAAUGUGUAGAUAUCGGAAGGAACGCCGGCGGCGAAAGCGGUACACUGGGCCUUGUCUGACGCUGAGGCACGAAAGCUAGGGGAGUGAACGGGAUUAGAUACCCCGGUAAUCCUAGCCGUAAACACUGAGCACUGGAGGGGAGGGGCUUCGGCCUUUUCCCUCGCAGCGAAAGCGUUAAGUGCUCCGCCUGGGGAGUAUGGUCGCAAGGCUGAA
rnacentral:rRNA from 1 species